AGAGUUGAGAGGUUCCUGAUGUGA
rnacentral:siRNA from 1 species